UACAGAGGUCUCAAGCGUUGUUCGGAUUCAUUGGGCGUAAAGGGUGCGUAGGCGGUGUCGUAAGUCGGAUGUGAAAUCCCGGGGCUUAACUUCGGAACUGCAUUCGAUACUGCGAUACUCGAGGACUCGAGAGGAGAUUGGAAUUCACGGUGUAGCAGUGAAAUGCGUAGAUAUCGUGAGGAAGACCAGUGGCGAAGGCGGAUCUCUGGAGAGUUCCUGACGCUGAGGCACGAAAGCUAGGGGAGCAAACAGG
rnacentral:rRNA from 1 species